rnacentral:rRNA from 1 species
AUUGAACGCUGGCGGCAUGCUUUACACAUGCAAGUCGAACGGUAACAGGGAGCUUGCUCCGCUGACGAGUGGCGAACGGGUGAGUAAUGCGUCGGAACGUGCCGAGUAGUGGGGGAUAACGCAUCGAAAGGUAUGCUAAUACCGCAUACGUACUGAGGUAGAAAGGGGGGGACCCUCGGGCCUCACGCUAUUCGAGCGGCCGACGUCUGAUUAGCUAGUUGGUGAGGUAAAGGCUCACCAAGGCGACGAUAAGUAGCGGGUCUGAGAGGAUGAUCCGCCACACUGGGACUGAGACACGGCCCAGACUCCUACGGGAGGCAGCAGUGGGGAAUUUUGGACAAUGGGCGCAAGCCUGAUCCAGCCAUGCCGCGUGUCUGAAGAAGGCCUUCGGGUUGUAAAGGACUUUUGUCCGGGAGCAAAUGCCUGGUGUUAAUAGCAUCGGGAGCUGAGAGUACCGGAAGAAUAAGCACCGGCUAACUACGUGCCAGCAGCCGCGGUAACAC